rnacentral:rRNA from 1 species
UUGCUACCUGAUUCAGCGGCGGACGGGUGAGUAAUGCCUAGGAAUCUGCCCGAUAGUGGGGGACAACGUUUCGAAAGGAACGCUAAUACCGCAUACGUCCUACGGGAGAAAGUGGGGGAUCUUCGGACCUCACGCUAUCGGAUGAGCCUAGGUCGGAUUAGCUAGUUGGUGAGGUAAUGGCUCACCAAGGCGACGAUCCGUAACUGGUCUGAGAGGAUGAUCAGUCACACUGGAACUGAGACACGGUCCAGACUCCUACGGGAGGCAGCAGUGGGGAAUAUUGGACAAUGGGCGAAUGCCUGAUCCAGCCACGCCGCGUGUGUGAAGAAGGUCUUCGGAUUGUAAAGCACUUUAAGUUGGGAGGAAGGGCAGUAAGCUAAUACCUUGCUGUUUUGACGUUACCAACAGAAUAAGCACCGGCUAACUUCGUGCCAGCAGCCGCGGUAAUACGAAGGGUGCAAGCGUUAAUCGGAAUUACUGGGCGUAAAGCGCGCGUAGGUGGUUCAGCAAGUUGGAUGUGAAAUCCCCGGGCUCAACCUGGGAACUGCAUCCAAAACUACUGAGCUAGAGUACGGUAGAGGGUGGUGGAAUUUCCUGUGU